rnacentral:rRNA from 1 species
UAGGGAAUCUUCGGCAAUGGGGGGAACCCUGACCGAGCAACGCCGCGUGAGUGAAGAAGGUUUUCGGAUCGUAAAGCUCUGUUGUUAAGGAAGAACGAGUGUGAGAAUGGAACGUUCAUGCUGUGACGGUACUUAACCAGAAAGGGACGGCUAACUACGUGCCAGCAGCCGCGGUAAUACGUAGGUGGCAAGCGUUGUCCGGAUUUAUUGGGCGUAAAGCGAGCGCAGGCGGUCAAUUAAGUCUGAUGUGAAAGCCCCCGGCUCAACCGGGGAGGGUCAUUGGAAACUGGUUGACUUGAGUGCAGAAGAGGAGAGUGGAAUUCCAUGUGUAGCGGUGAAAUGCGUAGAUAUAUGGAGAAACACCAGUGGCGAAGGCGACUCUCUGGUCUGUAACUGACGCUGAGGUUCGAAAGCGUGGGUAGCAAACAGG